rnacentral:rRNA from 1 species
CCGGAAUUAUUGGGGCGUAAAGCGCGCGUAGGCGGUUUUUUAAGUUCUGAUGUGAAAGCCCACGGCUCAACCGUGGAGGGUCAUUGGAAACUGGAAAACUUGAGUGCAGAAGAGGAAAGUGGAACUCCAUGUGUAGCGGUGAAAUGCGCAGAGAUAUGGAGGAACACCAGUGGCGAAGGCGACUUUCUGGUCUGUAACUGACGCUGAUGUGCGAAAGCGUGGGGAUCAGACAGGAUUAGAUACCCUGGUAGUCAAGGGCG